CAGAAAUUUAGUUUAUUUCGAGGUCAUCAAAGCUGUUGGCCAAUAUCCUGUACUCAUGGGCCUAUCUGUUGGGAACUUAAUUGCUUGAUGAGAUGAAAUGGACUAUAUAAUGGUUGUUGAAGCAUCAAAGCCAACUGCAAUGGCUGAUGCUGAUAGGUUUUCCAAUAUGAAAAGGUAGAAUGUUGGUGAGUUUUAUUUAGUUUCAAUUUAUUUAUAAUGUAUAAAUUGUGUUUCACAUCUCCGACCUUAUGAAGUUUGACGAGUCCAAACAAGUUCCUAUAAGUACACUUUGGUGAGAUUUUUUAUCUUCAAAGAAUUGGCAUAACAAUUAUCAUGGAAUUUAUUGUAGCAUAGGAACUAUAAAGCAAUCUACUAUACAUAGCCAUGAAUUUUGAUUGGGUAAAAUACUAUUUUGGUCCCUAAACUUUGACAAAAA